CCAAAUAAGCCAUAACUCUCGCUUGUAUUCGCAAGCUGUCGGGCAAUUCCCAGCAAGUCCUUCUUUCUGUAAUAUUUUGAUAUAUACCACAAUCAGCUGAAUAUGUCGACGUCUCCAGAUCACCUGAAUUCAGCGAGAAAGAGACUGGUAGAGGCCCUUGGCUCGGAGAAGAAGCAGAAAUAUUUCCAUCACAUGAAACAGUGGUUCAGAAUGAAGCUGUCAAAGGAGGAAUUUGACUCAUUAGCAAGAGAACUUCUAGCGAUUGAUUCUGUACACCUGCACAACGAAUUCCUCCUAGCCAUCCUAACAAAAUGCCAGCUCUUUAGCUCUUCUUCCUCUACUUCACGUUCCGAGUCGUACCACAGGCAUGAAGAACAGAGAGUGGACACAGGACAAGGCACCUCCAACAUGCGGGAUCACAAUACAUCUCUUAACAUAUACUCGGCUCCAGCUGUUGAGCGGAAAAAGAUUAAACCCAAGAAGAAGAACAAAGUUUCACGGCCAACACAUGAUGGUAAUUUUGAGCCAGUAACAGUCCAAGACACAGCCCCCACGGCCACCCUGCGUGAGCCCCAGGCCAUCAUAGACUCGGGGGCUGGCUACCUUUCCCGUUCCUUGUGCCUGCUGGAUACAGGGCCCCUCAAAGGUCGUUUGUUGUUGGCAGCAUGGGACCAUGGCAUCACGCAAGUAGGGGACAAUGUUGCCAACAUUCUGCAAGAGGCCACUCAGCAAUGUCUGAAGAACAUCCUGAUGGCGACGGUAAGCAGACGUCGUGGGUAUCGCAUGAGGGAAGGGCGUUUCAUUCACUCCCUGGGCACAACACCUCCGAAUCCCUGGCUGAGGAACACUGCUUCACUCAAUGACUGGACGAAUGAGAGCCUGGGCCUCCCAAUGGGCGAGGGAGGGGAGCUGGGUGACCGACCCAUCUGGCCAACUGUGGACUCGGCAGACCAGAACGCAGCACACUUGGCUUCCUGCGCGCUUCCAGUUGAGAAUCCUCUUCCUCCUAUCAAUUGCUUCGACUUGUUUGAGGCUUUGCAGGUCCAGAAGAGCGUGCUUCCAUGCCACUCGGUGUACGCACUAGGCCUGGAGCGUAUUUCCUCGAGGCUUUGGCACCCUAGCUGGGGUGAGGUGGAGCAGGAAGCCAUCGCAGCACAAGAAGCUUCCCUCAGAGACACACUGAAGGAGCAUCGGCUGGCAGCCAAUCCUGUCUCUUAGCUGUGUCAGGUUGGUUGGUCGGGCAGUCACAAUUUUUUCCUGGGCUUUUCUUCAGACUGGGAUACCUGUUCCCUCAUUUAGAUGUUUAGGAUGUCCAUAUGCAGCCAAGAAAAUUUAGUAUGUUUUACAUACACGGAUACUUGUGAAUGUCAAAAAUAGAUCAUAAAAAAAUCAACAUACAUAUUGUUUUCAUAAAUAUGUUUCUUUCUCUCUGUUGUUUGCAUUUCUCAGUAAUGAUGAAACCCAUCCUGAUAAAACCAAAACAGUAUUAGUAUUAGACCUUUUGUGAACAUGCAAAGAACACCUUUCACAUAUUUUUCUGUGUAUAUUUAUCAAUAAAAAAAAAUCGAG